UGUCAAGAAGUCUAGUUACAGGAAAAACAGAUUACAUCAUUUUUGCAGGGAUUUCAGCUUGGCUUUGGGGUCAGACAAAAUGUGCUGUUCAAUCAAAUCAAGCCACCCAUGGAAAAAUGCUUAGAUACAGCCCUCGUCUCAGAUUCUCUAAACCCAGUGUAUCCGGUCUUGUUUAUUUUGGAUGGAUUCCAUCGUAUUAUAAAAGAUGACAUCAAGAACAUCCUGGAACUCUACUGACUGGAUUGCUUCAGUGCUGCACGUUGGAAAUUCUGCAUCCGUCCUCCUUUUCCUGUCAAAUCUGCUCCAAUUGGCUGCUGUCGAGAUGUGCA